ACAAGUGAAUCAGAUCGCUGCACUACUGCAGGAUAAACACUGUACACUCAAGACACUUCAGCUGCGUAAGUGUGGUCUGACAGAGGAAAGCUGCUUAGUUCUCGCUACAGUCCUGAGAUCAAACUCCAGUCUGAAAGAGCUUGACAUGAGCAACAAUAAUCUGCAGGAUUUAGGAGUGAAGAAACUUGGAUUAGAAAAUACAAACUGCACACUGCAGAAACUCAGACUUUCAGACUGCAGUAUAACAGAAGAAGGUUAUAAAGCUCUGGCUUCAGCUC